rnacentral:siRNA from 1 species
GUAUCCAUGGGCCAUGACCUCCG